UUUUGAAAAUAAGUCAGUGAUUAACUGGGACUGGGUUGUAAAUGGGAUUUAUUUCAUGAGGAUCUAAAAGGACCUUUGGGGAUAUUGAAAACUUUAUCUUGAUUGUAGCAGUGGAUGCCUUAAUGUACACAUCUGUUAAAACUAGUCAUACAUUGCCGAAUGGCAUGAGAAUCCAUUUCUACUGUCCUGUUGACAGUGAUUACGCAGGCUGCUGUAAGAUAUCAAAGGAAACAAAGAACAGAGGGAAGAUCACAAGACUUUGAAUUAGAAGACUUAGGUUUAAGUGAAAGUACUGGUUCAAUCCAAUCAUUUAAUUUCCAGGAGGUGUUUUCUUCAUUUGCAAAAUGGACAUUAUAGAACUUAUCCUGUGAACUUCA